rnacentral:sRNA from 1 species
GGAUCCGGGAGGGAGCCAGGCGGGCCAUGGGGAGGGGCAGGGGCUUAGCCGCUGGCGAGUGAGGACCGGGUCGGGAGGAAGGGGUCACACCUGGAGUUCAGCCUCUUGGGUAGGGGCGGGAUACGUGGGGCGGCUCGAGGAGCUGCCAGGACUAGGGAGGGCUGCGGGACAAGACGGGGCGGGAUCUGGAUGACGUUUGCCCCUAAGACGCCGCGAGGAGGCCAGGCUUUGCAACCAUCUCCAUAAAGAAGGGGCAAGUUCGAGGACGGAAAGCCCACUCAAAGGGCGGGGGGCGGGGCCUGGCAAGAGGGGGUGUGGCCAGGAUCCCAGGCAGUAAAUUGUGUGGCGGGGUCUGGAUGGAAAGGCGGGGCCCGCUGAAAGAAGGCGACCCGAGUUCUGCUACUUCCUAGUAAGGGACGUCUCUGGAGAGAUUCUGAGGUGUUUGAGCCUCUUUUGCCUACACACCGGCAGUGUCCUUCCCGCACUCAGAGGGCCUCUCUGGAGCCAGUUCCAGGCCACCCAUGGGCCUUGGCCCCGCCCCCUACUCAUGGCUGGCAGAUUCGUGGCCCCACCCAUCUCGAAGCCCCUCGGCCCAGGAACCCAGGGGAAGCUGCUGCCCUAGCAAUCCUGACCCGGACGACAGAUAUUACAACGGUGAGGAGUUCUCAUUCCCUCACCUGGCUUCAGCGCACUUCUCCCGACCUACUGGGGCAAACCGAAGGGCGCCCGGGAGCCCGGUCUCUCUGAGAAGCAGGAAUCUCCCUGUAUCUAGCUCAGACGGCCAGGGGCACGGCCGCCCCUGGCGAGGGUCCUGUCUAUAGCACCAUUGACCCAGCGGGGGAGGAGCUGCAGACCUUCCAUGGGGGCUUCCCCCAACAUCCCUCAGGAGAUCUGGGCCCCUGGAGCCAGUACGCUCCUCCAGAGUGGAGCCAGGGGGACAGUGGAGCCAAGGGAGGCAAAGUGAAGCUUCUGGGGAAACCUGUGCAGAUGCCCUCUCUGAACUGGCCAGAAGCCCUGCCCCCACCUCCUCCUUCUUGUGAACUGAGCUGCUUAGAAGGGCAGGAGGAGGAGCUGGAGGGCAGCUCAGAGCCAGAGGAGUGGUGCCUGCCAAUGCCUGAGAGAAGUCACCUGACGGAACCCAGCUCCAGUGGAGGGUGCCUGGUCACUCCAUCCCGAAGGGAAACCCCCUCUCCCACACCUUCCUAUGGACAGCAGUCCACAGCCACUCUUACACCCUCACCUCCUGACCCUCCCCAGCCCCCAAAUGACAUGCCCCAUCUCCAUCAGAUGCCCAGGAGGGUGCCCCUUGGGCCGAGUUCCCCUCUCAGUGUAUCCCAGCCCAUGCUGGGCAUCCGUGAAGGGAGGCCUGCUGGCUUGGGUGCUGGCCCUGCAGCCUCACCCCACCUCAGCCCCAGUCCUGCCCCUAGCACAGCCAGCAGUGCCCCAGGCAGAACCUGGCAGGGGAAUGGGGAGAUGACUCCCCCACUUCAAGGACCCCGUGCUCGAUUCCGGAAGAAACCCAAGGCUCUUCCCUACAGGAGGGAGAACAGUCCUGGGGACUUGCCCCCACCACCCUUGCCACCGCCAGAGGAAGAGGCGAGCUGGGCCCUAGAGCUGAGGGCAGCAGGCAGCAUGUCCUCCCUGGAGCGGGAGCGCAGUGGGGAGAGGAAAGCGGUCCAGGCCGUGCCCCUGGCCGCCCAGCGGGGGCUCCACCCAGAUGAAGAGGCCUGGCUCCCAUACAGCAGACCAAGCUUCCUGUCCCGGGGCCAGGGCACCAGCACAUGUUCCACGGCCGGCAGCAACUCUUCCAGGGGCUCCAGCAGUUCUAGGGGCUCCCGGGGCCCUGGCCGGAGCCGGAGUCAGAGCCGGAGCCAGAGCCAAAGGCCAAGACAGAAACGCCGAGAGGAACCAAGAUGACCCUUGUUGGGGCAUUGAGAAUAUCAUGAGUGCCACGGGGAAGGGGAGUAGGAUGUCUUUUCCCUCCCAGCAGUGAUGAGUGGGGCUAGCUGAAGCCCAUUGGUUUCCACGAUUUCAAUUGGCUGAGAAGGCAGAGAGCUAGCUCCUCCCUUUCUUUCUCUUUCCACCUGAGACUUGUUUAUAAAAAACAAAACAAUAAAAAGAGUCUGAUCAGA